CAUAAGCGGAGGAAAAGAAACCCACCAGGGAUUGCCUCAGUAACGGCGAGUGAAGCGGCAACAGCUCAAAUUUGAAAUCUGGCCUCUUUAGGGGUCCGAGUUGUAAUUUGUAGAGGAUGUUUCGGGUACCGCUCCGGUUUAAAUUUCUUGGAACAGAAUGUCAGAGAGGGUGAGAAUCCCGUCUUGGACCGGCGGUAGGGCCCAUGUGAAACUCCUUCGACGAGUCGAGUUGUUUGGGAAUGCAGCUCAAAAUGGGUGGUAAAUUUCAUCUAAAGCUAAAUAUUGGCCAGAGACCGAUAGCGCACAAGUAGAGUGAUCGAAAGAUGAAAAGCACUUUGAAAAGAGAGUUAAACAGUAUGUGAAAUUGUUGAAAGGGAAGCGCUUGCAACCAGACUUGAGCGCGGCGGUUCCCCCUUCCUUUUGGUUGGGUUACUCCGUCGUGUCCAGGCCAACAUCGGUUCUGGGGGUCGGUUAAAGGCCCGGGGAAUGUACCUACCCUUCGGGCGUAGACUUAUAGCCCCAGGCGUCAUGCGACCACCCGGGACCGAGGAACGCGCUUCGGCUCGUG
rnacentral:rRNA from 1 species